UAUCUUUAUUAAAUUAUGAAAAGACAAUGUCCGCACAAUUUAAAUUAUGUUAUACUAAUUUUAAGUUGUAUUUUUGAGCCGAAGAUCCAUUAUUAUAUGCCGGUUAUAGAGUAAUUAUUACUCUAUGGUGCCGGUAAGUUUUUGUUUGAUUGGCGAUAGAAAGUGAUGUAAGGGGCACGACACACAACAAUUGUUACAGAUCCACCCUCUGCCGGCCAAAAAAUUGAUAAGUUUUUGAUCGCCAAUAGGUAGUACACAAAAUAUAUUGCCGAACUUAACUUUAAUUUUGUUGUUCAACACUUCAACUAGUAUUUAUUUAUAGUAAACUUUAACUAAUCUAAAAAAGAAACCAGCAUUCCAUGAAAAAUAUAAUGUUACUGACGAGAUGGUACCUGUGAUUUGAACCUAUACCUAUUAUUGAAAUCCUAGACUUUGGAAACUUAUGUUCUGCAACAGUGUCUGAUGAAUUCAAAAUUACAAUUGCUAAAGAGAAAGUUUAAUUAAAAGCAUUUUAUGAAUGGCUUCCAGUAAAAACUAUUAUAGCUCGACAAUUAUAUAAGUACAUGAUAUAGAUACAAUGACAGUGUGGUGUUACAAUAGUAACAACUCCACUUAUAGUAGGAGAAUUCAAAGGAUAAAAAGUGCAAAAUGUUAUAAAAGCUUUACAAAAAAAAUAAUACAGACUCGAAACAACAAGCUGUUAUUUAUUAUGAACCCGAAAAAGUUGGAAUUACAGAGCAUAAAUAUUUACCUCGAGGAAGUUAAGAAAAACUUUUUGUCGUGUUUAAACUGGUUAUAUGAAUAUGCUUGUUCUAGAACUUAUGGAUUAGGAACAACUACUGCAAUAAAAUCACGCAAGUCUUGAAAAUAAUAUUUAAGAGGACGCCUCACCCGCAUAUGUUACCUCAGUCUUACAAGUGUGUAACAUAGCAAAUUGUAGCUGAACACGUGUAGCUCUGUUGGAUUAAAAAUUAGAGUGAAUUGACCUCUUAUAAAAUUUAAAUGAUGGAAAUGUAAUUAUGUUAAGGUUUGUAAUUGGAACAUUGGCAACCUUAUUUAAUCAUUACAAGUAUAUUGUAUACAUACACACAUGCACAUAUAAUAUUUUUUUAAAUAUAAUAAUAGACAUAAAAUAUUUUUGAUGUCAGUAUUUAAUUUUGGUUUCUAUUAUAUUGGAAUCUGGAUUCAUUACAUAUUCUGAGCCAGUUCAAAAUAUGUAUUUCACUAGUUGAACAAAGAUUAAACCAAAUAUAGCUUAUAGUAGAGACUAGUUUGAUGCAAAUAAUAAUAGGAUGAUCAUGAUUGUUGCUCUAGACUCUCGUGUUUGACAAAUGUAUUGGGAAAAUCAAUUGAAAGGUUAAUAAAUUCAAAUACAUAACAAUUUAUUAAAGAAUGUAUGCAAGAUUUGUCACAUAAACUUAGGAAAAGUACACUUUUCUCCUUAAAUAUCUGAUAAUAUCAUGUUUUGAACGUGAACUUCUCUACACAAAUAUAAUGAUUUAAUGCAUGUAUUUAUAUUUAAAACAAAAUAAUUAAUUUGAAUUGCCUACUAUAUGUAAAAUGUAUUACUGUGAAGCUAGG